CAAUAGCGUAUAUUAAAGUUGUUGCAGUUAAAAAGCUCGUAGUUGGAUUUCUGGUGGGAGCGAUCGGUCUGGCGCUUAGCGCGAGUACUUGCAUCGUCUCCGGCCAUCCUUGGGGAGAGUCUGUCUGGCAUUAGGUUGUCGGGCAGAGGAUCCUCAUCGUUUACUGUGAAAAAAUUAGAGUGUUCAAAGCAGGCUUAUGCCGUUGAAUAUAUUAGCAUGGAAUAAUAAGAUAGGACUUUGGUACUAUUUUGUUGGUUUGCGCACCAAAGUAAUGAUUAAUAGGGACAGUUGGGGGUAUUCGUAUUCCGUUGUCAGAGGUGAAAUUCUUGGAUUUAUGAAAGACGAACUACUGCGAAAGCAUUUACCAAGGAUGUUUUCAUUAA
rnacentral:rRNA from 1 species